UUUUCCUAUGCUAAGGAGGACCUACAAGAUACCGGAGGCCUUGCCUUCGUCAAGUUAGAGAUUGUUUUUCCCUCCAGCAAGGUAUUUACGUUAAGACAACUGGAAGCUUCCUGAAGAAUGUCACACAGAUCCCACCCUGGGGAGGGAUUGUUUGUGGGAGAUCAGCUGUGCUUUGUCCUCAGCUGGCCCUGCUCCCUCAUCAUUUGCACGUACCAAAAAAAAAAAAAAAAAAAAAAAAAAAAAAAAUUGUGGGAGAGCACCUAAGGGAAAAAAGUUUACUACGGUUCCAGUUUAAUGUGUAGUGAAGGGGCGAGAAAACGGAGCAAUCAGGAGCCUUCAAAGCCCUAAUUGUUUAUUCUAAGAGUAAGGGAAAGCCUCUUAAGAGUUUUGAGCAGAAUGUUGCCGUGAUCACAGGUGCAUUUGAAAAAGGCCAUCCUGGUGCCUUUCGAAAACCGAGAUGCUGGGUUCCUUGAUGUUUGUGUUAGGAGGACUCGGAAGGUGGCGGGUCGUCGGGGGCUGACGCUGAGUUGCGUGAAAUCCGUUCAGUUCGGGGAUGAAGUACCUCAGCUGUGAAGGAGCUCACCGCACUUCCGGUUUCAAGUCAGCAAUUGUUUUGGAACCGGCUGGGAAAAAAAGGAGAAUAGGCCCGUCCGAGCCCAAGCACGGAGGCUUCCGCGUGAGAUGCGUGGAGCCAGCGCGCGCGUUUCCGUAAGCAAGAGCCUCACUGCACUUCCACGGGCCCCCGGACGUGCUCUCCGAGGCGUCCCAGGUUAGAGGCGGCAGCUCGCACCGAGGAAAGGCGCCCGUCCCGGCGUCACCCAGGCCCGGGGCUCGGGGAGCCCGCACUGCCACGAGGAGGGCCCCAGAUCCCUGCAGAGGCCCCAGAACUCGGCCGUCACGCCAGGCCCGGCGGAGCCGAAGCCGCAGGACGCUCCGGGCUCCACGCCGGGGUCCGUGCAGUGACCGGGACGCCAUUCAUGUCCCCGGAAGCUUCCCAGGGGCUCGGAGCAAGCCCCGCCCAGGCACUACGGUGGCUGCAAAGGUCCCUGACUCACGGCGUGGACGAAGGCGCACGCGCAUUGAGGACUUCUAGGCUCAGGGACGGGUUAAAGCCGGCCUCCGCAGGGACUUCAGCGCCCGCAGAUCCCUUUCCC
rnacentral:lncRNA from 1 species